rnacentral:rRNA from 1 species
ACAUGCAGUCGAGCGGACAGAUGGGAGCUUGCUCCCUGAUGUUAGCGGCGGACGGGUGAGUAACACGUGGGUAACCUGCCUGUAAGACUGGGAUAACUCCGGGAAACCGGGGCUAAUACCGGAUGGUUGUUUGAACCGCAUGGUUCAGACAUAAAAGGUGGCUUCGGCUACCACUUACAGAUGGACCCGCGGCGCAUUAGCUAGUUGGUGAGGUAACGGCUCACCAAGGCGACGAUGCGUAGCCGACCUGAGAGGGUGAUCGGCCACACUGGGACUGAGACACGGCCCAGACUCCUACGGGAGGCAGCAGUAGGGAAUCUUCCGCAAUGGACGAAAGUCUGACGGAGCAACGCCGCGUGAGUGAUGAAGGUUUUCGGAUCGUAAAGCUCUGUUGUUAGGGAAGAACAAGUGCCGUUCAAAUAGGGCGGCACCUUGACGGUACCUAACCAGAAAGCCACGGCUAACUACGUGCCAGCAGCCGCGGUAAUACGUAGGUGGCAAGCGUUGUCCGGAAUUAUUGGGCGUAAAGGGCUCGCAGGCGGUUUCUUAAGUCUGAUGUGAAAGCCCCCGGCUCAACCGGGGAGGGUCAUUGGAAACUGGGGAACUUGAGUGCAGAAGAGGAGAGUGGAAUUCCACGUGUAGCGGUGAAAUGCGUAGAGAUGUGGAGGAACACCAGUGGCGAAGGCGACUCUCUGGUCUGUAACUGACGCUGAGGAGCGAAAGCGUGGGGAGCGAACAGGAUUAGAUACCCUGGUAGUCCACGCCGUAAACGAUGAGUGCUAAGUGUUAGGGGGUUUCCGCCCCUUAGUGCUGCAGCUAACGCAUUAAGCACUCCGCCUGGGGAGUACGGUCGCAAGACUGAAACUCAAAGGAAUUGACGGGGGCCCGCACAAGCGGUGGAGCAUGUGGUUUAAUUCGAAGCAACGCGAAGAACCUUACCAGGUCUUGACAUCCUCUGACAAUCCUAGAGAUAGGACGUCCCCUUCCGGGGCAGAGUGACAGGUGGUGCAUGGUUGUCGUCAGCUCCUGUCUUGAAAGGUCGGGUUAAGUCC